rnacentral:rRNA from 1 species
UGAGGCCUACGGGACGCAGCAGUGAGGAAUAUUGGUCAAUGGGAGAGAUCCUGAACCAGCCAAGCCGCGUGAGGGAAGACGGCCCUAUGGGUUGUAAACCUCUUUUGUCGGAGAACAAAACCCGGGACGUGUCCCGGACUGCGUGUAUCCGGAGAAAAAGCAUCGGCUAACUCCGUGCCAGCAGCCGCGGUAAUACGGAGGAUGCGAGCGUUAUCCGGAUUUAUUGGGUUUAAAGGGUGCGCAGGCGGAAGAUCAAGUCAGCGGUAAAAUUGAGAGGCUCAACCUCUUCGAGCCGUUGAAACUGG